rnacentral:rRNA from 1 species
UAUGGGGCAAGCGUUAUCCGGAUUUACUGGGUUUAAAGGGUGCGUAGGCGGACUGUCAAGUCAGCGGUAAAAUAGCGGGGCUCAACCCCGUCGAGCCGUUGAAACUGGCGGUCUAGAGUGGGCGAGAAGCGGGCGGAAUGCGCGGUGUAGCGGUGAAAUGCAUAGAUAUCGCGCAGAACUCCGAUUGCGAAGGCAGCUCGCCGGCGCCCAACUGACGCUGAGGCACGAAAGCGUGGGUAUCGA